rnacentral:lncRNA from 1 species
GGGGGUCUUCUUCUUCUUCAGAGGAGUUCGGUUGGAGCUCCAGGCCGUCAAUUCCACCCUGUUCAGGUUUGGCUUCCUCCGAGAUAGUGCAUUCCACUAUAAAAUCAGUAAAUAUCUGGGCUUUCACUGUCGGUCUAGGUCGAUAGUUGAUGUCAAAUUUUGUGAGCUCGAUCGCCCAUUUCGCUAUCCUCCCAGAGGCAUCUGCCUGGUGUAGAAUCGCCUUGAUCGGCUGGUCGGUGAGCAAUGUUACAGUGUGCCCUUGAAAGUAGGGUCAGAGCCUCCAGGCUGUAAUCAAUAGGGCAUAAGUUAGUUUCUCCAAUUUAGUAUACCUGGU